rnacentral:rRNA from 1 species
GUGAACGCUGGCGGUAGGCCUAACACAUGCAAGUCGAACGGCAGCACAGUAAGAGCUUGCUCUUACGGGUGGCGAGUGGCGGACGGGUGAGGAAUACAUCGGAAUCUACUUUUUCGUGGGGGAUAACGUAGGGAAACUUAUGCUAAUACCGCAUACGACCUACGGGUGAAAGCAGGGGAUCUUCGGACCUUGCGCGAUUGAAUGAGCCGAUGUCGGAUUAGCUAGUUGGCGGGGUAAAGGCCCACCAAGGCGACGAUCCGUAGCUGGUCUGAGAGGAUGAUCAGCCACACUGGAACUGAGACACGGUCCAGACUCCUACGGGAGGCAGCAGUGGGGAAUAUUGGACAAUGGGCGCAAGCCUGAUCCAGCCAUACCGCGUGGGUGAAGAAGGCCUUCGGGUUGUAAAGCCCUUUUGUUGGGAAAGAAAAGCAGCAGGUUAAUACCCCGCUGUUCUGACGGUACCCAAAGAAUAAGCACCGGCUAACUUCGUG